rnacentral:rRNA from 1 species
GAGCGCAACCCUUGUCCUUAGUUACCAGCACGUUAUGGUGGGCACUCUAAGGAGACUGCCGGUGCAAACCGGAGGAAGGUGGGGAUGACGUCAAGUCAUCAUGGCCCUUACGGCCUGGGCUACACACGUGCUACAAUGGUCGGUACAAAGGGUUGCCAAGCCGCGAGGUGGAGCUAAUCCCAUAAAACCGAUCGUAGUCCGGAUCGCAGUCUGCAACUCGACUGCGUGAAGUCGGAAUCGCUAGUAAUCGUGAAUCAGAAUGUCACGGUGAAUACGUUCCCGGGCCUU